GUAAUGGAUGGCCUGGACAGUAUGCCAGGACACUUUAGGCACAAAGCAGGGUACACCCUGGACAGGGUGCCACUCCAUCACAGGGCACACACACAUGCACACACUAUGGGCAAUUUGGGAAUGCCAAAUUAGCCUAAUCUGCAUGUCUUUGGACUGUGGGAAGAAGCCGGAGUACAAGGAGGAGACCCACCAAGCACGGGGAGAACAUGCACACAGACCUGAGGCAGGAAUCAACUCACCGACCCUGGAGGUGUUUGUAGCUCCAUCACAAGCGAGUCACAGGCGUUCCUCACUGAUGUGAAGCAGGCAACAACUGUCUGUUAAAAGAUAAAACUUUGUCACAGGCAUUUCUAAGGAAAGUAAUGGUAGGCUCUGUCAUCAGUCUUUUAAGAGAAAAGUUGCCUCACACUGCUCUAAUGUUUGUCAAAUUCAUUAUGAGAAAGUACAGUAAAAAUAAUUCUGCUAUA